rnacentral:lncRNA from 1 species
CCCUGAUGAGAGAGGAAGAGAAAUAAAGGGUCUGCUCCAGGGUGGAUGCGCCUCCAUCCUCUCCAGGACCAUCCUGGUGACCAGCCUGAAGGACCCAGGACCAACUGCCUACGCCUUGCCAGUCUAGAAGGUCUGACAUAGAAAUGAAGCCACGAAGUCCCCGAGAGUGAAGGACAAGGACGCUGCUGACCACGUGGGACCCUGAGGACAGAG